GUGAGUUGUGGUUUUAGGGGUGACGGUGUGGGUUGUGUAUGUGUGAGUUGUGGCAUUUGCGUACUGUGCAAGGAUUUGAUACUUCUAAUCAUUUGGGGUGGCUUAGUUUCACCUUCGUGGCCAAUAUUUUAAUAGGAAUUAGGAAUAUAAUAUAAUAUAAGCGGCGAGUUUAAAACGUUUUGAAGUAAGAAAAUUAUUGAAAAAUGUUUAGGAAAUUGAAGUGAACGAGGUUUAAUAUGUAAGAAUUUAAUUCGUAAUUUUAAAUUAUUUUGUAUUUAAAUCCCAUCAAUAGGUAGUUAUAUUUUUUCGGAUGGAUACAUUACUAAAUAUUCAUGCUGAGUUUCUCCCUCCCUUGAAUCUCAAACCAGAGGAAACAUAGAACAAUUAAUUAAUAGAUAAUCUUUAAUAAGUAACUCUUUGCUUAAGUCAGCAAUUAUAACUUGUAAUGACUUUAAUCAAUAACUGAAGUAUCUCCUUUAUAGUAAGGGGAAAAAAAUUGGCGGAUACCAUAUUAAUGCAAACUUUCCAAUGAGCAGAGUAGAUUAAAAUUCAUAUUAAGAUUAAAUUUGAUAUUUCAGUGACAUAAAUCCCGGAAAACCCAAAGUUUUGCUAUGACGGAAUCCGAUAAAAAGAAAAAUUUAUACUCGUAAUUAUACUUAAAUUAAAAUAUUAAUUUAAUAGAACUUUUAAAAUAUCCAAUUUCUCUGAAUAAUAUUCAUUUAUUCUCAUUUAGGGGGGAUUGGAGUGAGUGACGGCUUAUUGGGAAUCAAUAUCUCAAUGUAAUUAAAAGCUGCCAUUUUCUUUCAAAUUCCAAUUAGCUGUUUUUGCCAUCAAAAGCAGUAUUAGCUCCGUAUCUGAGGCUCAAUUAUUUGACAUUUCGUACUUGAAACGAACUUUUUCUCCCGGUUUUGGAAUUAAAAUCUCCAAUCUGCCUCGUUCUUUUUUGGCUUUCUGUACAUUAACUAUUCCUCUAGUUGAUGUAACAAUUUGGAAUCUCAUUAAAAAUACCUAGUUCAAUUCGGUGUCUAAUAUUUAUACAUCCUAAUGUGAUACAUAUAAUUUUUACUGAAUAAAGAAGACGAAUUCUUACUCUUCAGUUAUCUAGAAAUAACUUAGUUUGUUCUAUAUCGCAAUUCGGAAAUGGAAGUUUGAAUAGCUUCAUGUGAAGGAAUUGCAAUUGUCUUCGAAUCAAAAUGAAUGAAUUAAAGGCAGUAAUCGGUUAGAAUAAGGCUAGGAAAAACCUUUCAGAAAUAGAAUUGAAUUAAGCUACUAAGCAUUUGAGAUAAAAAAAAAUCGUACUAAAUUAAGCUAUUUUGAACUUACUUGAAAUUAUUCAGAUAAAUUUCGUAUUGCAUUUUAUACUUAAGUAUAUAAAAAAAUUAUCUUCAUAACACUUAAAAAUAUGAAAUGAGUUAAGGCAAAGAUGUUUUUUCUGAAAUCAAAUUUGUUUAUUGUAAAGAAAAACAAAAGAGGAAUAAUCUCUGUAGUCCAUUCCCUUUUAAAAUUUAAAAAUUACUAACAGUUGCCCGCUCAAAUGUUUUUAUCUAUUGGAAACUUUCUAAAAUGCAUUAAAAUCUGCACAUUUAAUGUGGAAGAAAUAUUCAUAAUCUUUGAAUAUUCCACUCGAGUAGUUUCUAAGCGACGAAAAUGCUAUAAUCAUGUGGAUUUUACAUGGUACAGUCUAAUAUGACAGAGGAAACAGUGGCAGUUGCUCUCUUGUGCCCUCUUCUAUAAAUGAACAGAAUGUUUAAUGCAAAUUUGACAAGUCUUUUGUGUAAGACUAUCCAGUGGGAAACGUUUAAAUCAAAUAUCUGUAAUACUAGAAAGUUUCUGUUGAAUUCACUGGCCUUUUCACUCAUCAGUGAAAUACGUCAUAGAAGUCAUCAAUUUAACAAAAUCGCCUGCCGUUGUUGGAGCUGUUCACUGCAAAGAACACUUUUUAUGCUGUUCGCUUGAAACAGUGGCCAACUCCUGUAAGCAAAGCGACCGCCUUUUCUCUUGACGAAAAUAUGGAUGGCAGCUAUCUGGAUGGCCACGAAAUUUUUUCUUUCGUACAGAAGUAAUAUCGGCAUUGACAGACAGUACAACAUGGCCUAUAUCCAUGUCAUUUUGCUUGAUAAAGGCACUACGUCAACCACCAGUAGUGUUGCUUUCUGUUCCAUGCACUUGAUUGUCCACCCCAAAUAUGCUGGAUGCGAGGAAGUAUUCCUUACAGGUGAUGUUGAAGGUGAUGAGACAAUUCAAGGGCGCAGUAAGUUCGCUAUUUAUAUUAACAAAACGGCAUGGAAUUUGAAAACCAUUAAUUGGUUCAUCUAGAAAUUAAAUUACUGGAGGCUGCAAAGAGAUGCGAAACAUAAUUAUCUUAAAAUAUUUAUUGAAACAGAUGCAGCCCUAUUGGCUACUAACCAUAAUGAAUUACCGGAAUUCAAACGCCUGUCAUACGCGUUUCUGAGUAUAGGAUUCAAAGUAAUUGAACGUCUUAGAAUGGAAUCACCCAGUGACCCUCGUUAUGAGGGAAAUACUCCAUGGCCAGGAACCGUUUGAAACUAGAUUCCAGCAUCUACGCAGGACAAAAAUGCUUCUAGGUAAUUCUGUUGUCUCUGCAUGGCUUGUGGUAAACUUUCUAGAAUGACCAAAUUUAUUAAGUUAAAUGAAUGCCCUUUCAGUUCCAGCCAUAAAGUAUCUACAUAUGUGUAGUAGGUAUCUAGAUGUCCUGGAAAGAACGUCAUUGAAGUAAUAUCGGUAUUCUUCUGUCAGACAACUCAUGGCCGUUGAUGCUACUUUUCCGGUUAAAAAGUAUGUCAUCACCAUCGAUAAUACGCUUUUCAAGGUCCAAAAACGUCUUCACUAGAAAGCAGUUCUUUAUACGGGGAGGAUAUUCCCUUCAGAUGAGUUCGAAGUACAUGGAAUUCAAAGGCAUGAUCUAAUCUAUUCCGAUUCAGAUGUUGACUUGUUUUGUUCGAAGUGAUCCUGCCACAACAUGCAGUAUCUGAAGCUUCUAUCAAGUGCAAACUAGAAUUCGGAGCCACUACAGUUAAAAUGUUGAUUUCCGGACAAAUGUAGUUGGUUAGUAAAAUUAUAAAUGUUACACCAAAUCCAAAAUGUAUAUUUUCUAUCAAAAAUCAUCAGUUUGCAUAGUGGUGAAAUUGUGAUUACUAAUGUAAUGGCAAAUUAUUUGAAAAUAUCAAUAUAUCUUUGAAGUAUUUCAUGAUCCCAUUUUAAGGCUAUGACAAUGAAUCUUACAUUUUUGGGGAUAUUUUUUUAAAAUUGGGAAAGCUUGAAGUGCAUGUAAUUAUCAUUCCAAACAAAUGUUUGGCAUAUCAAUCGAUAUUUCAUCUAAAUUGUUUGAAAUUUUCAUAUAUCUACUUAAAACGACUAAAAUAUUGGUUUGCAUUCAUUUUCUUUAAACGUAGUGCUUGCUUUGUACUUUGAGAAACAAGCUAUUCUGAGACAAUCGAUAUCGAUAAACAUGUUUCAUGUAGAUAAAUUAAAAUGUAAUAGAUGAUUUCUAGGAAAAUCAAAUAAGUCAAAUUUCCAACAAAACUAAAAAUUUACUGCCACAGAACGAAUUUUUGAAAUAAAAAUUUGCAUAUGCAUUCCUCUCUUAUUGUCAACGGAUAAUCCAUCUUUAUGUUAUGAGGUGAUUUGUUACGAUUGCUUUUCAUCACCGCUUACUGUAACACAAUUUGAAAAAUUGAAUUUUAUUGUUAUGAAACGAUUCAUUGUAGUUUCUUCACAUCAGCAUAAGGGCUUGUAAUAUACUUCUCAAUUUAUCUACAAUUUUAUAAAAAUGGUAGUCAUUUGUUUUUAUUUUGUACUGAAUGUUAAUGAUCUCGUAACUAAUUUCAUUAUUGUCGAUUUCUAGAAAGUAACUUAAUAUUAUAAUGAUGAUGAUGAAAUAAGUGAUCAAAUAUCUGAAUAUAUUUGCUAUAAUUAUCUGUGUAUAGUUCUAAUAUGAAGGGAUUUUGCAACUCGUAAUUAUCUGAACAUUCUUUUUUGAAAUACUGGUCUUAAUUAGGGAAAAAUGUUUUAUGCUAAUUUUCGGUAGUUGGCCCCGAAAUCUCUGAAAAUAUUUUAAAUAUAUAUUGCUAAGCUGCAACUUGGAGUUUUUGCACAUGAAAUGGUUCUAUGCUUUGAAAAUUAUAUUUUAUGCUUGAAUUUUAAAUUUGUUUGAUGGUUGGAACUGUAAUUUUAAAAUAGUUUUUUUUCUUUUUUUUUUGCUCCUCGUUAAGUUUUACAUCCGAAAAUGACAUAAAAUUUAUAGUAUUAAUGAUUCCUAAAUCCAAAUUUAAUAGUACAUGGUAUCGAUACUCAUUAAUUUAAAUUUAAAUUUAACUUUAAUAUUUCUGAAAUUUUACCGUAGUUUGAGAAGGUAUAUUAAAAUUAAUCAUCUAUUCGUUGCAUCCAUUUGCAGCUGCGUUUUAAUUCAAGAUUUUAUUCUUGUUAACUAUUACUAGCUUAUUUUUUUAAAAUGUAUUUAUAGUAAGAUGAAUAGUAAAUUUAAAAUACUAAAUCUUGAGUCCUAUAUACCUUAAUUCGGUUUUUAAUUUUGAUGCAAAUGUGUACAUCCGCUGAUAAAGGAUACUUUGAUUGGUUCGGCCGGCCAGCCAAUCAAAGUAUCCUUUGAUUCUUAGAAAGCAUUUGAUCACUGUGUCUGAUCACCAUGGUGAUCAAUAUGCCUAUAGGAAAAAAUGACGCUUUUUCAUGAUUAGAAGGAAUUUAAAUUUCUAAAUCUAACCUAAUGCAAUAAAAUAUCGGAUUUCUUGAGAAAAAGCGAAUGGAUGCGACGAAUGUUAUAGUACUGUCUUUUUUUUUCCUUCAGUAAUACGAGACUUUGACUUUUAAAAAAACAAUAGAUCUUCUAAAAACAUUUUUAAAUUAUUUAAUAAAAUAUCAAAUUGUCACUUUUUAAUGUGUAAUAGAAAUCAGAAUAAGUUUUAUGAAUUUCCACUGAAAUUAAUUCUAUCCGUAUACAAUAAAUUAUGUUAAUUUUCUUUAAUUUUGUUUUAAGAAUCGGUGCUUCCAUUAAAUUUUUAAACUCAAGUAUAUCAAUUUUAUGUUAAAUCAAUGCUUUAAAAUCAAUCACUUUAAAAACUGACU